GGGAGAGAAAGCAGUUUAAUCAAGCUUGAGCCUGGCCUGGGGAGCGCCUGAGAGUCUCGCCAAGGAGCAGCGGCAGGCCCUCUCUGUGUCUUCCGGACUAUCCUGUGACCCCCAUCCUCCAAGGCCAAGCUGAGUUUCCAUAAGCCCACGAGCGUCAUCUCUAACCCAUGAAGAUGAGUGUGUGACUCCGGCUGAAAAGGCUCCACACCACCGACUCCUCUCCCCUUUCCCGCUGUCUUCAGGUUGGAACCUGGGCUCCUGGACCCGGUGUUCAGCACCUCUCACUCUCCUGCCUCCUCGUCAGCCGUUUCUCUGGCAGCUUCUCCACAAUCCUCUCCUGUGACCUGCCCCUGUGAAGCUCCCAGUCAGUUCCAGCCUGUGGGAAGGUCAGCGUGCACUGUCGGGCUUGGCACGUGGCCCGGGCUUGCGUGAUGUUUCUUCACCAGCUCAAGCGACUUAUGGAUGGAUCCAGCUGGAAGAAAUUGUUUAGAAUAAGCCCAUUACCCUUAAUAAAUAAUUAAGCUGUCAGAUGUGA